ensembl:snoRNA
GUACAGGCCUUAGCCUACCUACUAGUCAGGAUAUGGACUAUAGAGAGAAUCAUUCUGCAAAAAUACCUGGUGGGUUCUUCUGUCCAGCAUCAGUAUUUUCAUGGAGGCUUUAGGGUUGCCCAGUAUCA